UAUUCCGGAGAACGCAGGUUUCAAAAGUAUCAUGUUUUGUUAGCCGUUAUUCUGUCGUGAAAUGGGUUGUCGGUUUUUUAUCAAGGGAAUUACAAUCGUAAAUUCUUCUAUAAUUGAUUUCUGGCGACGGGAAUAUGAUGCUUUGGUGUUGGUUUGUUUACAUAGUGCAUACCGUUGUGAGAUAAGGGGCUCUGAGUGUGUUUAUAUAAUAUACUUGUUGGUAUCUUAGUGGACCAGCUGUGCGAGAAGCUGCAUCAGCGAAAAACGUUAGAAGUGCCGUUAUGUGCGUGACAAAAAAAUGUGUCGUAACAUCAGGACAAUGUUUAACACCGUAACUGCGGCAUGAUGGAUGGACUAUGGAUAAAGAACACAUCAAGAUAUUAUACUUGCGCUAUUUUUUUAUUGUUAAAACUCUUACGUUUUCUCACGAAUUGAUGAAACUUUAUUUUUUUUUAUAACAACCUUGCUGAAUUUUUAUUUGUUUCAAUAAAGUAAGAAUUAUGUUUAAA
rnacentral:lncRNA from 1 species